rnacentral:rRNA from 2 species
UGGGUAGGGGAGCGUUCUGUAAGCCUGUGAAGGUGGCCUGUGAGGGUUGCUGGAGGUAUCAGAAGUGCGAAUGCUGACAUAAGUAACGAUAAAGCGGGUGAAAAGCCCGCUCGCCGGAAGACCAAGGGUUCCUGUCCAACGUUAAUCGGGGCAGGGUGAGUCGACCCCUAAGGCGAGGCCGAAAGGCGUAGUCGAUGGGAAACGGGUUAAUAUUCCCGUACUUGGUGUUACUGCGAAGGGGGGACGGAGAAGGCUAUGUUGGCCGGGCGACGGUUGUCCCGGUUUAAGCGUGUAGGCUGGUUUUCCAGGCAAAUCCGGAAAAUCAAGGCUGAGGCGUGACGACGAGGCACUACGGUGCUGAAGCAACAAAUGCCCUGCUUCCAGGAAAAGCCUCUAAGCAUCAGGUAACAUCAAAUCGUACCCCAAACCGACACAGGUGGUCAGGUAGAGAAUACCAAGGCGCUUGAGAGAACUCGGGUGAAGGAACUAGGCAAAAUGGUGCCGUAACUUCGGGAGAAGGCACGCUGACACGUAGGUGAAGUGAUUUACUCAUGGAGCUGAAGUCAGUCGAAGAUACCAGCUGGCUGCAACUGUUUAUUAAAAACACAGCACUGUGCAAACACGAAAGUGGACGUAUACGGUGUGACGCCUGCCCGGUGCCGGAAGGUUAAUUGAUGGGGUCAGCGCAAGCGAAGCUCCUGAUCGAAGCCCCGGUAAACGGCGGCCGUAACUAUAACGGUCCUAAGGUAGCGAAAUUCCUUGUCGGGUAAGUUCCGACCUGCACGAAUGGCGUAAUGAUGGCCAGGCUGUCUCCACCCGAGACUCAGUGAAAUUGAACUCGCUGUGAAGAUGCAGUGUACCCGCGGCAAGACGGAAAGACCCCGUGAACCUUUACUAUAGCUUGACACUGAACAUUGAGCCUUGAUGUGUAGGAUAGGUGGGAGGCUUUGAAGCGUGGACGCCAGUCUGCGUGGAGCCGACCUUGAAAUACCACCCUUUAAUGUUUGAUGUUCUAACGUGGACCCGUAAUCCGGGUUGCGGACAGUGUCUGGUGGGUAGUUUGACUGGGGCGGUCUCCUCCUAAAGAGUAACGGAGGAGCACGAAGGUUGGCUAAUCCUGGUCGGACAUCAGGAGGUUAGUGCAAUGGCAUAAGCCAGCUUGACUGCGAGCGUGACGGCGCGAGCAGGUGCGAAAGCAGGUCAUAGUGAUCCGGUGGUUCUGAAUGGAAGGGCCAUCGCUCAACGGAUAAAAGGUACUCCGGGGAUAACAGGCUGAUACCGCCCAAGAGUUCAUAUCGACGGCGGUGUUUGGCACCUCGAUGUCGGCUCAUCACAUCCUGGGGCUGAAGUAGGUCCCAAGGGUAUGGCUGUUCGCCAUUUAAAGUGGUACGCGAGCUGGGUUUAGAACGUCGUGAGACAGUUCGGUCCCUAUCUGCCGUGGGCGCUGGAGAACUGAGGGGGGCUGCUCCUAGUACGAGAGGACCGGAGUGGACGCAUCACUGGUGUUCGGGUUGUCAUGCCAAUGGCACUGCCCGGUAGCUAAAUGCGGAAGAGAUAAGUGCUGAAAGCAUCUAAGCACGAAACUUGCCCCGAGAUGAGUUCU